CCCUAGUAUAAUUAGAAACUUAUAUUAAUAUAUUUUUGAAAAUAGAAAUUUUUGGCGGUUGAUUAUUUUUAGAGGAGCUUGUUAUUUAUAAGAAUUUACUCUUUAUAUUUUGGUUAUGAAGAGUUUAUUCAUCUCCGUUAUUAGAUAAUUGUUAAUAAAAAUUAUUUUUUUAUUUCAGGUCAAGAUGUAGCAUUUAUAAUUUUUAAUUAGCUACAUUUAUAAAAAUAAUGGAUUUUUAGUUUAUUAGAUUAAAAGGAAAUUGAAUUUGAUUGUAAUAUUGAUUAGAAAAUUAAUGUGAAUUAUUAUAGUUAAUGUA
rnacentral:rRNA from 1 species